UGGGGAAUCUUAGACAAUGGGCGCAAGCCUGAUCUAGCCAUGCCGCGUGAUCGAUGAAGGCCUUAGGGUUGUAAAGAUCUUUCAGGGGGGAAGAUAAUGACUGUACCCCCAGAAGAAGCCCCGGCUAACUCCGUGCCAGCAGCCGCGGUAAUACGGAGGGGGCUAGCGUUGUUCGGAAUUACUGGGCGUAAAGCGCACGUAGGCGGACUGGAAAGUUGGAGGUGAAAUCCCAGGGCUCAACCUUGGAACU
rnacentral:rRNA from 1 species